GACAGAGGGUGCAAACGUUGCUCGGAAUCACUGGGCGUAAAGGGCGCGUAGGCGGCCUUCUAAGUCGAACGUGAAAUCCCCGGGCUCAACCCGGGAACUGCGUCCGAGACUGGAAGGCUUGAAUCCGGGAGAGGGAUGUGGAAUUCCAGGUGUAGCGGUGAAAUGCGUAGAUAUCUGGAGGAACAUCGGUGGCGAAGGCGGCAUCCUGGACCGGUAUUGACGCUGAGGCGCGAAAGCCAGGGGAGCAAACGGG
rnacentral:rRNA from 1 species